AAGUCUUUAGCUUAAUGGAUAAAGCAUUAAAUUUCUAAUUUAAAAACUACAGGUUCGAUUCCUGUAAGACUGA